rnacentral:rRNA from 1 species
GACGAACGCUGGCGGCGUGCCUAAUACAUGCAAGUAGAACGCUGAAGGAGGAGCUUGCUUCCCUGGAUGAGUUGCGAACGGGUGAGUAACGCGUAGGUAACCUGCCUGGUAGCGGGGGAUAACUAUUGGAAACGAUAGCUAAUACCGCAUAAGAGUAGAUGUUGCAUGACAUUUGCUUAAAAGGUGCAAUUGCAUCACUACCAGAUGGACCUGCGUUGUAUUAGCUAGUUGGUGGGGUAACGGCUCACCAAGGCGACGAUACAUAGCCGACCUGAGAGGGUGAUCGGCCACACUGGGACUGAGACACGGCCCAGACUCCUACGGGAGGCAGCAGUAGGGAAUCUUCGGCAAUGGACGGAAGUCUGACCGAGCAACGCCGCGUGAGUGAAGAAGGUUUUCGGAUCGUAAAGCUCUGUUGUAAGAGAAGAACGAGUGUGAGAGUGGAAAGUUCACACUGUGACGGUAUCUUACCAGAAAGGGACGGCUAACUACGUG